UACGUAGGUGGCAAGCGUUGUCCGGAUUUAUUGGGUUUAAAGGGUGCGUAGGCGGCCCUGUAAGUCAGUGCUGAAAUAUCCCGGCUUAACCGGGAGGGUGGCAUUGAUACUGCAGGGCUUGAAUGAAGUUGAAGUGGGCGGAAUUGACGGUGUAGCGGUGAAAUGCUUAGAUAUCGUCAAGAACACCGAUAGUGAAGACAGCUCAC
rnacentral:rRNA from 1 species